UAACCCCUCAACAAUUAACCAAAAAGCCUCGACCCACCUCGCUAAAGUUGCGCAGCUCACCAUUUAACUGAAUUCUACGCAAAAAUGCUGUACAUACAGGUUGAAAUCUUAAGUAGAUCAGGGGAAAUGAAGAUCAAGAAGGAAAAAUGAUAAAGAAAAUGAAAAAAGCUGAAGGGUUGUAAUAAUGGGUCACGUGAUGGGUGGAUUGUGAAGAGAGAAAGCGAAAUGUGCAAACAGUCAGCAGCACCACCAGCUGCCCAGCAGCAGAGCAGCUACUAUAAAAUUUUAUUUAAUUUUAUCUGUUGAUAAUGAUACAAUAAUAAACAACUUAACUUAUUAAAAAUACAAUAAUUUAUAGAAUACAAAUUUUAAAAAUGUAGAAAAAUGCAAAUUAGGAGCCUGUUUGGCUAAGCCUAAAAAAUUCUCUUAAAAAGUAAGUGAGAUAAAUAAAUUAAUUUUUACUUGUUAAAGUUAAAAAUAAAUUAAUAAAUGAUAUAACAAUAAGAUAAAAAAGUUACUUUCUAAUAAGAAACAUUAUUUUAAAUAAAAGUAAAAGAAACAAUAUGUUGCACCUUCUUAGAGGGAUUUUAAAUAGAGGCAUACUGAAGUUUAAAUGGCUAAAUAUUUUUACUCUAUGCGGUUGCAUAGAGCAAUUCUCGAGGGAAAAUUUAGUUUCUUUUUUCCUCCGAAACUCUUGUGGAAACAAUAUUUUUAGGGUCCUAUAAAUACAAAAACUCGACAAGUACGUAGGGGACGCCGUUUUUUACAUGUUUUUGAGAGAUUUUGAAGAAAAAAGAAGGAAAGAAUAACAUCACGCCAAGUGAAGAUCGGAUUUAAAAUUGAUUCGGGUGAUGUUGUUUUUUCAAAUAUUUUUAUGUUUUCUUCUUUUUAGUAUGUUAGGCUAGAUUUAUCAUUAUUAGGAGAUUCCACUUCAAGUUCUCAAAAGACAAAUCAAAUCACGCCUUAAUGCCCAAUUUACUCAAGAUCCAGUCUCCAAAUAAAAACCGAGUAAAUGUGAAGCAACAAAAACCAUAAUUCACCCACUGCAAUCUCAAAAUGCCUACCUUUUAUUACUCAAACCAAAGCAAAAACCUAAUUACAUUCAAAACUAACCUUCACCAAAGAGUUAAAACAACUCAAUUACACUUAAAGAAUAACCCCUCAACAAUUAACCAAAAAGCCUCGACCCACCUCGCUAAAGUUGCGCAGCUCACCAUUUAACUGAAUUCUACGCAAAAAUGCUGUACAUACAGGUUGAAAUCUUAAGUAGAUCAGGGGAAAUGAAGAUCAAGAAGGAAAAAUGAUAAAGAAAAUGAAAAAAGCUGAAGGGUUGUAAUAAUGGGUCACGUGAUGGGUGGAUUGUGAAGAGAGAAAGCGAAAUGUGCAAACAGUCAGCAGCACCACCAGCUGCCCAGCAGCAGAGCAGC
rnacentral:lncRNA from 1 species